AUAUGCCAUUAGAUGCUACAAGUGAUUCUACUUUUAUUCAAAGGUCAGUCGCUCUUUAAAUAGCCGACUCUAAAUGCCUCAUAAUCCACGCCAUAGCCCAAUUUCCAUCUCCUUCUUCAAUGUGUGUUCAAGAAGAAGGAAUUAAAGCUUAAAUUCAAGUAAAUAGUUGGGGGAGGACUAGCACUAGCUAGCUAGCAAUGGCUAAAGAGCAAUUGGGAGUGCUAAAUGCACUUGAUGUGGCCAAGACUCAAUGGUAUCAUUUCACAGCAAUUGUAAUUGCUGGAAUGGGAUUCUUCACUGAUGCUUAUGAUCUUUUCUGCAUUUCCUUGGUCACCAAGUUACUCGGCCGCAUAUACUACACCGACAUAACCCAUCCGAAGCCAGGAACGUUGCCACCAAAUGUGGCUGCUGCUGUUAAUGGUGUGGCUCUAGUUGGAACCCUAGCCGGCCAACUCUUCUUCGGGUGGCUCGGUGACAAAUUGGGUCGCAAAAAGGUCUAUGGGAUCACCCUUGUUCUCAUGGUCGUCUGCUCCAUUGCAUCUGGCCUCUCAUUUUCGGAUCAUCCAACCAGCGUGAUCUCCACUCUUUGCUUCUUCCGCUUCUGGCUCGGAUUCGGCAUUGGUGGCGACUACCCCCUUUCCGCCACAAUCAUGUCCGAAUAUGCCAACAAAAAAACCCGUGGGGCUUUUAUAGCAGCGGUGUUUGCUAUGCAAGGGUUUGGGAUUUUGGCUGGAGGAAUUGUGGCUUUGAUUGUCUCAACUGCUUUCGAUAAAAGCUUCCCAGCUCCUACAUUCGCAGAGAAUGCGGCUGCUUCUCUAGCCCCUCAAGCCGAUUAUGUCUGGCGUAUAAUUCUCAUGUUUGGGGCUGUUCCUGCUGGUAUGACUUACUACUGGCGUAUGAAAAUGCCGGAAACUGCCCGUUACACUGCCCUUGUGGCCAAAAAUGCCAAGCUAGCUGCAGCAGACAUGUCUAAGGUUCUCCAAGUUGAACUUGAAGAUGAAGAAGAGAAGGUACAGAAAUAUACUGAAGAGAAAUCCAAUUCCUUUGGUUUGUUCAGUAAGCAGUUUGCUAAAAGGCAUGGUUGGCAUUUACUUGGAACAACUUCAACUUGGUUCCUAUUAGACAUUGCCUUCUACAGCCAAAACCUUUUCCAAAAGGAUAUCUUCUCCGCAAUCGGGUGGAUCCCUUCAGCCGAAAAAAUGAAUGCAAUUCAUGAGGUUUUUAGAAUUGCAAGAGCACAGACACUCAUAGCAAUGUGCAGCACUGUGCCUGGCUACUGGUUCACUGUGGCUUUGAUUGAUUAUAUGGGCCGAUUUGCAAUCCAACUGAUGGGCUUCUUCUUCAUGACCGUCUUCAUGUUUGCACUCGCAAUUCCUUACCAUCACUGGACCUUGAAGCCCAACAGAAUUGGGUUUGUAGUAAUUUAUUCACUGACAUUUUUCUUUGCCAACUUUGGGCCCAAUGCCACCACAUUUGUUGUCCCCGCCGAAAUUUUCCCGGCCCGUCUGCGGUCAACGUGUCACGGAAUUUCCGCGGCAGCCGGAAAGGCGGGAGCAAUUGUGGGAGCUUUCGGAUUCUUGUAUGCGGCCCAAAGCAAGGACCCAACGAAGACCGAUGCAGGGUACCCGCCCGGCAUUGGUGUGAAGAAUGCUCUUAUUAUGCUUGGCGUUAUCAACUUUUUGGGGAUGGUGUUUACUUUCUUGGUGCCAGAGUCCAAGGGAAAAUCACUUGAAGAGUUGACAGGUGAGAAUGAAGAUGGGGAUGAGGCCACGGAGGAGCAGGCCCCUCCUACGUAUAGAACUGUUCCAGUGUGAUGACAUUUACUUUUAAGUUUGCUUGAUUUGCAAUGUAAUAAUAAUGUAGGUAUAUAUAAUGUGUAGAAUCAAUUAUAGAAGCUUAAUUGUAAAAGAAAUUAUUAUAAUGUGUUUUUGGAUUUGUUUGUAAUUUAUUUAUUUAAAAUUUUA